GAUGAACGCUAGCGGCAGGCCUAAUACAUGCAAGUCGAACGGGAUUGGGGAGCUUGCUCCUCAUGAGAGUGGCGAACGGGUGCGUAACGCGUAUGCAACCUACCUUCAUCAGGGGGAUAGCCCGGAGAAAUUCGGAUUAACACCGCAUAAAAACACAGUACGGCAUCGUACAAUGUUCAAAUAUCCAUAGGAUGAGGAUGGGCAUGCGUGUCAUUAGCUAGUUGGUAAGGUAACGGCUUACCAAGGCGACGAUGACUAGGGGAUCUGAGAGGAUGACCCCCCACACUGGUACUGAGACACGGACCAGACUCCUACGGGAGGCAGCAGUAAGGAAUAUUGGUCAAUGGAGGCAACUCUGAACCAGCCAUGCUGCGUGCAGGAAGACGGCCCUAUGGGUUGUAAACUGCUUUUAUACGGGAAUAAACCUUGAUUCGUGAAUCGAGCUGAAUGUACCGUAAGAAUAAGGAUCGGCUAACUCCGUGCCAGCCGCCGCAGUAACAC
rnacentral:rRNA from 1 species